CCUACGGGUGGCAGCAGUGAGGAAUAUUGGUCAAUGGACGUGAGUCUGAACCAGCCAAGUCGCGUGAAGGAUGACUGCCCUAUGGGUUGUAAACUUCUUUUAUAUGGGAAUAAAGUGUUCCACGUGUGGUGUUUUGUAUGUACCAUAUGAAUAAGGAUCGGCUAACUCCGUGCCAGCAGCCGCGGUAAUACGGAGGAUCCGAGCGUUAUCCGGAUUUAUUGGGUUUAAAGGGAGCGUAGGUGGACUGUUAAGUCAGUUGUGAAAGUUUGCGGCUCAACCGUAAAAUUGCAGUUGAAACUGGCAGUCUUGAGUACAGUAGAGGUGGGCGGAAUUCGUGGUGUAGCGGUGAAAUGCUUAGAUAUCACGAAGAACCCCGAUUGCGAAGGCAGCUCACCGGACUGCAACUGACACUGAGGCUCGAAAGUGUGGGUAUCAAACAGGAUUAGAUACCCUUGUAGUC
rnacentral:rRNA from 1 species